ACGAAAGUCUGACCGAGCAACGCCGCGUGAGUGAAGAAGGUUUUCGGAUCGUAAAGCUCUGUUGUAAGUCAAGAACGUGUGUGAGAGUGGAAAGUUCACACAGUGACGGUAGCUUACCAGAAAGGGACGGCUAACUACGUGCCAGCAGCCGCGGUAAUACGUAGGUCCCGAGCGUUGUCCGGAUUUAUUGGGCGUAAAGGGAGCGCAGGCGGUCAGGAAAGUCUGGAGUAAAAGGCUAUGGCUCAACCAUAGUGUGCUCUGGAAACUGUCUGACUUGAGUGCAGAAGGGGAGAGUGGAAUUCCAUGUGUAGCGGUGAAAUGCGUAGAUAUAUGGAGGAACACCAGUGGCGAAAGCGGCUCUCUGGUCUGUCACUGACGCUGAGGCUCGAAAGCGUGGGUAGCGAACAGGAUUAGAUACCCUGGUAGUCCACGCCGUAAACGAUGAGUGCUAGGUGUUAGGCCCUUUCCGGGCUUAGUGCCGGAGCUAACGCAAUAAGCACUCCGCCUGGGGAGUACGACCGCAAGGUUGAAACUCAAAGGAAUUGACGGGGGCCCGCACAAGCGGUGGAGCAUGUGGUUUAAUU
rnacentral:rRNA from 1 species